UGGGGAAUUUUGGACAAUGGGCGAAAGCCUGAUCCAGCAAUGCCGCGUGUGUGAAGAAGGCCUUCGGGUUGUAAAGCACUUUUGUCCGGAAAGAAAUCCUUGGCUCUAAUACAGUCGGGGGAUGACGGUACCGGAAGAAUAAGCACCGGCUAACUACGUGCCAGCAGCCGCGGUAAUACGUAGGGUGCAAGCGUUAAUCGGAAUUACUGGGCGUAAAGCGUGCGCAGGCGGUUUGCUAAGACCGAUGUGAAAUCCCCGGGCUCAACCUGGGAACUGCAUUGGUGACUGGCAGGCUAGAGUAUGGCAGAGGGGGGUAGAAUUCCACGUGUAGCAGUGAAAUGCGUAGAGAUGUGGAGGAAUACCGAUGGCGAAGGCAGCCCCCUGGGCCAAUACUGACGCUCAUGCACGAAAGCGUGGGGAGCAAACAGGAUUAGAUACCCUGGUAGUCCACGCCCUAAACGAUGNCAACUAGUUGUUGGGGAUUCAUUUCCUUAGUAACGUAGCUAACGCGUGAAGUUGACCGCCUGGGGAGUACGGUCGCAAGAUUAAAACUUAAAUGAAUUGACGGGGU
rnacentral:rRNA from 1 species